rnacentral:misc_RNA from 1 species
GAGGCAGAGGGCGGCGUCGCUGCUGCCACACCUCGUCAAGACGCUCCGCCGAGAAUCGCCGAAGCCCUCGAAUCAGUCGCUCCCUUCUCUCAGGCGCACGUUCUCCCUCUACGACCAGAUUAAUCUCAUCGACACCAUCCCCGACGAUCAAUUGCGGUUCCAAGGGUAUUCUGACACAGGAUUUACAGUUAAUGGCGUGAAGCACGAAGGGAGCUUACUUGUUAUAGAAAACAAGCUGAUGUCGUGGGCUCCCAAAAGAUUUUCUGAGAUUACAGCUGAGAGUUUAUCUGUAUUCAAAAUUGUGCGUCCUGUUCCAGAGAUUUUGAUUCUUGGCUGUGGGAGGAAUAUUGAGUU